AGUUCGGAUUGGAGUCUGCAACUCGACUCCAUGAAGCUGGAUUCGCUAGUAAUCGCGCACCAGCCACGGCGCGGUGAAUACGUUCCCGGGCCUUGUACACACCGCCCGUCAAGCCAUGGAAGCCGGGAGUGCCUGAAGUGCGUGACCGCAAGGAACGCCCUAGGGUAAAACCGGUGACUGGGGCUAAGUCGUAACAAGGUAUC
rnacentral:rRNA from 1 species